CAAAAGCUUGGUCCUGACUUUUCUGUCAGCUUUAACUAAACUUACACAUGCAAGUAUCCGCCCUCCCGUGAAAAUGCCCCUAGAGCCCCGCCCGGGAACAAGGAGCUGGCAUCAGGCACAGACCUCUCUAGCCCACGACGCCUGGCUUAGCCACACCCCCAAGGGAACUCAGCAGUGAUAAACAUUAAGCCAUGAGCGAAAGCUUGACUUAGUGAAAGUUAAGCAGGGCCGGUAAAACUCGUGCCAGCCACCGCGGUUAUACGAGGGGCCCAAGUUGACAGACAACGGCGUAAAGGGUGGUUAGGGGAAUUAACCAAACUAAAGCUGAAAACCCUCAAAGCUGUUAUACGCAAACGAGGGCAUGAAGCCCAAUUACGAAAGUAGCUUUAUUUACCCUGAACCCACGGAAGCUAAGGUACAAACUGGGAUUAGAUACCUCACUAUGCUUAGCCCUAAACAUUGAUUGCAAAUUAAACAAAAAAAUCCGCCCGGGGACUACGAACAAAAGUUUAAAACCCAAAGGACUUGGCGGUGCUUGACAUCCAACUAGAGGAGCCUGUUCUGGAACCGAUGACCCCCGUUAAACCUCACCCUCCCUUGCCCCAUUCAGCCUAUAUACCGCCGUCGUCAGCUUACCCUGUGAAGGCCCGACAGUAAGCGAAAUUGGUAAAACCCAAAACGUCAGGUCGAGGUGUAGCCAAUGAGAGGGGAAGAAAUGGGCUACAUUUCCUACGCCUAGUAGAUACGAACGGUGCAUUGAAACAUGCAUCUGAAGGAGGAUUUAGCAGUAAGCAGGAAGUAGAGCGUCCCGCUGAAACUGGCCCUAAAGCACGCACACACCGCCCGUCACCCUCCCCGAGCAAAGAUUCUAACCUAACUAAAAAAAAUUACCUGUAAAGGGGAGGAAAGUCGUAACAUGGUAAGUGUACCGGAAGGUGCACUUGGAAAAAC
rnacentral:ncRNA from 1 species